UCUCGCUGGGGCCUCCAAA
rnacentral:miRNA from 1 species